AGUGAACGCUGGCGGUAGGCCUAACACAUGCAAGUCGAACGGCAGCACAGUAAGAGCUUGCUCUUACGGGUGGCGAGUGGCGGACGGGUGAGGAAUACAUCGGAAUCUACUUUUUCGUGGGGGAUAACGUAGGGAAACUUACGCUAAUACCGCAUACGACCUACGGGUGAAAGCAGGGGAUCUUCGGACCUUGCGCGAUAGAAUGAGCCGAUGUCGGAUUAGCUAGUUGGCGGGGUAAAGGCCCACCAAGGCGACGAUCCGUAGCUGGUCUGAGAGGAUGAUCAGCCACACUGGAACUGAGACACGGUCCAGACUCCUACGGGAGGCAGCAGUGGGGAAUAUUGGACAAUGGGCGCAGGCCUGAUCCAGCCAUACUGCGUGGGUGAAGAAGGCCUUCGGGUUGUAAAGCCCUUUUGUUGGGAAAGAAAAGCAGCAGGUUAAUACCCCGCUGUUCUGACGGUACCCAAAGAAUAAGCACCGGCUAACUUCGUG
rnacentral:rRNA from 1 species